rnacentral:tRNA from 1 species
ACGUCGCCGGGCGGGUAGGCGGCCAGGACGGCUGGUGCCCGUUCCCCGAAAAUCUGGGUGAGGCCAUCGACGUACUGCGCGGCGGUGAGGUUC